UAUAAUACUUCAUAAAAUACGAUAUAAUCAUCUAAAUUUUCUUUUUAUAGAUUUUAAAGAACCUGCAGAAUAUAUAAUUCGUAUCUGUUCUACUACUAUCUAAGUUUUACAAUAUAAAAAUUUUUUCGAAGUAGAUAACGAAAAUCGUUAAGCAAAGAAUUUCUAAUCAAUUAGAUUAUACGAUUCAUCCUAUAUCGUUUAAACUAAUUCAGGACGAACGGAUUAUAUUCUUUUUCAUUUUCUUGUUAACAAAGUCGUAAAUAGAUGAAUAUAACAAUGACGAAAGAAGAUAAUGGAAAAUUAAAUAGAUAUAAUAAAAAGAAAAAGGAAAAGAUAGAGAAAGAAGCUUGAUUGUUCCUUCCGUUUAAACUUUAUAAUUCAGACAUAAGGAACGCGCGAAUCUGCUUGAACUUUCCAUUCACGGGCCCUUUGAAUCGUAUGCCUGUCGUCGUCGUCGGGCGUGCGUUUCUUCGUCCCACUUAUUCCUCCUUGCUUUCUCCUUUUUCUUCGUCUUAAUCCAUCCUCGCUGCUAUAUCUUGCGACGGAUUCGCCGCGUUGUUACGUCUGCCGGCACCUUGACACGUUUACCCCGACACGCGUGCUUAAAUGCGCAGAUAAGAUUUCGAUUUUAGCUUUUCCAUUUUCGAUUAGCCACAAUUUAAAAAUCGAUGAUAUAAUAGCGAAAUUACAUAUUUCGAAUCAUGAGAAGAACAUAAGGGAAAUUGACAACGAACUCAUCAAGGAUAUAUUUUAUACAUAUAUGAAGGAUAAAUAAUAAGGUAGCAUCGAGGAAGGUGGGAAACGCAGGUGAGGAUGGUGCAGUGCGUUGUCCAGCGGGUUUCACGAGGGGUAGCCUCUGGUCUCUCCGCUGCGGAUGAAUUCCCGCAUAUCAUUUCGGUCGACUGAUAAAAAGGCUUGGAGGCUGGCUCGUCGCAAUGGACGACGAGGCGUAUACGGACAAAAAAGCCGUUGGGAGGGGAAAAGACUCGGAGGUCGGACACACAUACAUAUAAAGACAUACAUGAAGCACACAGUAGAUACAUAAGCGCAGAGAAGGCAAAAGGGGAGGGAGAGGGAGAGAGAGAAAGAGAGUGAGCGUGAGCGAGGACGAAGCGACUGAGUGGAGAGCGUAGCUCGAGCUCGGUUGCUAAGGGGUGUAGAGACGGCGAGAGGGGGACGACGCGCUUGCCGUUGGAAGACGGGGCGGAGGGGUGCAGACGUGUACGUAAACGACGUGAAUCCGGGUAAAGGGGAGCGUCACCACCAUCGCCACCGCCACUAACGCCGUCCUCGCUGCUCUGCCGUCGCGAUGAUUUGACUCUUCUGACUCUGACUCUUUCUCCUUCUCUCUCUUUCUCUUUCUCUCUCCCUCUCUCUUUUUCUCUCUCGUCGUUGUCGUUCGUGUCCUUCGUUUAGCUCUAGCGAGCCUCUAGCGUGCUGAUUCUAGCUUGACGCUCGUGCGCGCACUCUAAGAAACUCGAUGUGCAGUCGUAUGCGCCCACUGCCAGGGCUGUAUCAUUUUCCUUUGCCACGAGUGUUCUUUGCUCUCUUUCUCUCUCUUACUCUUUAGUGUGAAAGAAAAUAGUCAUGUUCUUUGCUUUAGUCUCUUCACUACCAAACGAGAAGAGAAGGUCCAUUUUGAUGAAUGUAACGAACAGUUUCCUUUCGCAGAAAAUUCGUUAGAGUGAGGUUGAAAAAACGAAAAGAAUUGGAAGUGUCGCGACAUCAACUCGUGAUCCCUGGAUCCUCGAUGUGGCCCCGAACGGUGGUAUCUAGGGAGCUUGGAGAUCCAAUGGAAGCCAAGUCGCGUAGAAGGGAUACUAGAGUAGGAGGUGGCAGUUAUGGCGCCUGCCGUUUGCGAGGAAGAAGAAGAGACGAAGAAAGAGGAGAGAGAGACCGAGUCGAAGAGUACUACACGUGUCGCGGCAGCGGGGUGUUGACCCCAAAUAGCUUUUUUAACGUGACGUAACUGAGAAAGGGUUGAGAAAUGGCCAAGUGCUUGAGCUCGACGCGAACCGAAUGACUUUUCGAAUGAACUCUAAGCUAAGCGUCUUUGAGAGCUCUUCAUAUUUUCGAAUUAAACGAUGAUACUGAUUUACAUUGCUCGAUUAAAAAAAAAAGAAAAUAAACAGGAAACGAAUUUCAAUCGUCUUCCUUUAAAAGAUAAAAAAAGAUAUUAAUAAAUACUAAACCGUGAACAGUUUUCACGUUCAUCCAAUUAAAGAAGACAUUAUUUUUCUUUUUUCUUUUUUUCUAACAAAGGAUACCGAAAGAGAACCUGUUUCGAAUGAAUGUUCGGUGAACAGUAACGUUAUGACUGUACAUAUUAGGUAUAUACGUUAUGGCCUUGUCGGACGAGGAACAUAGCACGAUGGAUCACAUUAAUGUUUCAGGCGAUCGUAAGCGAUGAUGCAGGCCAACGUUCGCUACAACUUAUGUAACUGUAGCUUAUGUGUACAAAUACUAUAUAUAUUUGUAACUUAUGUUCUACGAAUGAUUUUUGAAAGGAUAGCCAAAAUAAAAUCUAAAUUUUGAAGACUA